AACACCUGAAACGACGAAAGCCCUACCUCUCUUUCGUUGUUACGGCUCCUUGGCCGCGCCAGCUGAAUCAAGCGUUUUAGCAAGAA
rnacentral:sRNA from 19 species